rnacentral:lncRNA from 1 species
GUUUACCACCAUUGCCACCAAAAGUCAUCUGGGUAUCAAUAUUUCUCUGCAAGACCUUCAAAUCCUCGACAAUUUCCAAAACUUUUGCUGGAACUGGCGAUACAGUGCCCCAUCCCUGCCAUUCCUGCAGAGUUAUAGACCCAUCAACAGUGUCAUUGGCAUCAGCUUUUCUUGGAGGAGAACGCGAAGCGAAGUUUAAAACAGUGCAGUUUAGGCUUCUUGGUGGAGAUUCCAUGUGGGUUUUGGUGGAGAAAGUGCAAGAUGGAAGAGAGAAUUUGAAUGUAAAGAACCUUGUUGCAGGGAACAUUGUGGUUCUUUAUGGGUUUCUCGGAGCUGGUAAUUUUACGGUGUUAGUGCGCAAUACGGUGCGUUGUAUUGGCAGGAAUAAUAUUUU